rnacentral:misc_RNA from 1 species
AAGUCGUAACAAGGUUUCCGUAGGUGAACCUGCGGAAGGAUCAUUAACACGUAUCCAACGUUAAAAACCCCGUGCACCUUAAUCCUGCUCUCCUCGCCUUGAUAAGCAAUCUCUGGUAAAUCACGCUGACCGGUUUGAUUCAGAGACCUCUUUGAGACGUGGGGAUUGAGCGGUAGAGCAAAUAGACUUGGUUUCUGAGCUCUUUCGGGAGUGAUGAUAACUGAUACUUACUCAGAUCGUUGGCCCUCACGGCCAACGGACAGGUCUCUGGGGCUUCGGCUCCCCAUAUUAACCACGUAU